rnacentral:rRNA from 1 species
AGUCGAGGGGUAUGGCAGCAAUGCCAGAGACCGGCGCACGGGUGCGUAACGCGUAUGCAAUCUGCCUUUCACAGAGGGAUAGCCCAGAGAAAUUUGGAUUAAUACCUCAUAGCAUAAUGAGUUGGCAUCAACACAUUAUUAAAGUCACAACGGUGAAAGAUGAGCAUGCGUCCCAUUAGCUAGUUGGUAAGGUAACGGCUUACCAAGGCGACGAUGGGUAGGGGUCCUGAGAGGGAGAUCCCCCACACUGGUACUGAGACACGGACCAGACUCCUACGGGAGGCAGCAGUGAGGAAUAUUGGUCAAUGGGCGCAAGCCUGAACCAGCCAUGCCGCGUGCAGGAUGACGGUCCUAUGGAUUGUAAACUGCUUUUGUACGGGAAGAAACAGCGAUUCGUGAAUCGCCUUGACGGUACCGUAAGAAUAAGGAUCGGCUAACUCCGUGCCAGCAGCCGCGGUAAUACGGAGGAUCCAAGCGUUAUCCGGAAUCAUUGGGUUUAAAGGGUCCGUAGGCGGUUUUGUAAGUCAGUGGUGAAAGCCCAUCGCUCAACGGUGGAACGGCCAUUGAUACUGCAAGACUUGAAUUAUUAGGAAGUAACUAGAAUAUGUAGUGUAGCGGUGAAAUGCUUAGAGACUACAUGGAAUACCAAUUGCGAAGGCAGGUUACUACUAAUGGAUUGACGCUGAUGGACGAAAGCGUGGGUAGCGAACAGGAUUAGAUACCCUGGUAGUCCACGCCGUAAACGAUGGAUACUAGCUGUUGGGAGCGAUCU